UCCUGAUUUACCAAGGCGAUUUGAGUUGGAUGCCCCUCUUAAUAAGUACGACAGGAGCACUUUCUACAUCUCGGAUCCCAUUAUUGGUUACACAGAUUAUCCUUUCCUUGAAGAAGCUUAGGGCAUGGUUAACAGAUAUGAUCCUUUUCCGUCUAGCAAUUUAUUGUUUGCUCUGGAUAUUUGGACGGUCUCUCCUUAUUUAUUUUUCUUGCAUUACUGUUUUUAUUAAAUAAUAAGAGCAAUUAUGGAGGGGGGAAAUCACUAUUUGCCUAUUCUUAAAGGGGUACUCUUUGCCCGACAGGUGAUAAAUAGUCCAUGUAAGAACUCUCAACUGUCAAAUUUUGUGACCAUUUGUAUUGUGUGUGGAAUAUUGCAUUCCGUAUUGUUUAUGAAUGAUGUGAUUGAUGUAUAUUUUUUUAAGAACAUAUUUUUAAAAAGAAAGAUAUCUUGAAGAAUGAGAGGUUAAAAGUAGGAAAAAGUAAUGGGUUGACACGCAAAAUUAAUUUAUAGGGAAAUGUCUUAUCAAAAAUAAAAUCGGGGAAAAAUGAGUUCUAUGAAUUUGUACCAAACAUGCUCUAAGCAUUAUUUAUUUCAAAUAUGUCUUGUGAUUCUAAAACUGUUGUUCUUACAUUUUUGCAAUUUCUUAAAUGACAAGGACACGUCAUGUGCGAACCUCUUCUUCAAAAACUUGCCAUACCAGAAAUUAUAAUUAAAAAUAUCAUUAAGAGGCACAUAUGUAAAUUUAUUCUUUUAAAAACUUUUAGAACUGAUAAAUAAUAAACUCUCAAGUAUAAGUUUGAUUGUUUUAGAAACCAAUACUAAAACACAAAAUUAAUCUGCUCAUAAACACUAAAAUCUAUAAUUUAAAAACGUCCAUAACUGGAACCUCAAAACUCCCAAACAGCCUUUAGUGCUUGUUUAAGAGAAAUUAUUUGAAAUGAAAAAUAUUUUUUUAGAAUAUGUGUCUUUAAAAAUAGAGGAAAAAAAUAUGAAUUUACGGAUAUAAUUAUUUUAUUGAAAAAUAAUUAAUUAAAAAUAAAUUUUAAAAAAAUAAUUUUUAGAUAAAAUUGGGUCAAACAAGGGAUUAGAUAUAUAGAGCCUAUUUGGUUUUGAUUAAAAUCUAAUUUUAAUUUAAGUCAAAAUCAAACAAUUUAUACUAACAACAUAUUUCAUAGGUCUCACAAAUUUUCAACUACAUGUUUCAAAAACUUCUACCACAAUCUAUUAAAAAAAUCUAAUUUUAAUCUCAAUUAAACACCCUCACAAUAUUUUUUAUUUUCCUUCUCGUAGAAGUAGGAAUGACAAUGGGUCGAGCCAACACUUUAACCCACAGCUCGGCUCAUACUCGUAACGAGCCUAGUUCGCGCUCUUAAAAACGAAGCUCAGCUCAGCUAAUUACUCAUGGGGCGAGCUGAACUUGGGCUCGCGAGCUUUUUUUUUUUUUUUUUUAUUGUAUGCUGAAAUUAGAUAAAACAAAAACUUUUUUUUUUAACAAAAAAUAAAUAAAUCGAGCAAAAAUAUUUGAUUGAAUUGAUUUUUUUCUUUUUUUUUUAAAUAGAAAAAACAUAAACCCUUAUUCUUUAUCCAGACUUGGGACCGGCUACUCAAAUUUUGAGUAGGCAGAGUUAAAAUUUGUACACAAAGAACUUUUAACGUGUACAAUUUUUAAAAAUAAUUAAAAAGGUAUUAUAAAAUAAGAAAUUGUGAUUAAACUUGUAUAAUUAAAUAUCACUUACUUGACGACAUGUAAUUUUAGCAUAUUUAUCUUAUAUUCGAAAAUGAGUGUCCUGCCAAACUUCACGCACAUCAAUGCUUCUAAAAUAUCCUCUUUCAGUCGACUCAUGACCUCGAAAAAAACUCUCCUACUUGUACUAAAAGCAGACUUUGAAGUUACAGUACUAAUCAGAGGUGUCAGUAAUUUUUCUGCAAUUGCGAAAACUACUAGUUAUCAUCGUUCGUACCUCCGCCAGAAUUCAAUAACAUUUUCAAAAUUUUUUUAAUCAUUUUAUUAGUAGACAUAUUAUGGUUAAAGUAAUUAACUAAUUCAGCAGACAAAUUAUUUACACUUCCAUCUAAUAUUUGGGCAGAUGGAGAUGCAACAGACAAAGUAUUACUAGACGAAGAUGAACCUAUUGCAUUUGAAUCAUACCUAUACGUGCUAAUGCCUUGAAAUAAAUUAUAUAUUUCAAUAUCGUCUUCUUCAAGUUUAAUAGAAGGAGUAGGCGCACAGGGUACUCGACUAACAUUUGUACCCAUUCGUUCAGCAUAUAAAUUAUACGUUUCAUUUAAAGUUCGUUCUAAAUUUCUAUAUGUGAUAAGUGUACCAAAAGUUAAAGUUUUAGAAAUUUGAUCAAUUAUAUAUUUGGUUUCCGAUAAAUUAUAUCAUAAGUAAGUCUUUUCGGUAUUUUCUAAACUUCGAUUCCAUAGAGUAUAUAAUUGCACUAAAAUCAGGGUCAUUUUUGUAUUUAUGAAAGGUCCUUGCAACUAUAUAAAGAUGUUAUAGCAUCAUAUAGCUAGAGGGAUAGUAAAUUCCAAAUAAAAUAUUUGUACUAUCAUAAAAACUUGUCAAAAAUCUUUUAACCUUUAAAGCUAAAAGCUGAUUGGAUUCGUUCAGAAUAGUUUCGUCAUCGUUUCUAAUAUGCAUAUUGUUGUAAAACUCAAUUAUUAAAUAUUCAAAAUAUUCACAUGACUUUAACAAUAAGUAAGUGGAGUUCCAUCUAUGACUUACGUCACUAACAAAUGUGUUAGAAUUCGACUCCCCAAAUUCGACAUAAAAUUCCUCAAAUGUUUGUUUUCUACUAGGGGAGAUCGUGAUAUAUAUUAGUGUAUUUCUAAUUCUUUGUAUUUUACCUUUAAUGUGUUUCAAACCAUCUUGCACAAUUAAAUUUAAAAUAUAACACACACAACGAAAAUAAAACAAAUAACCACCGAAAUCAGGUUACAAUACCCUAUACAAUUUAUCGAUAACUACUUUAUUAACAUUAGCAUUGUCGAAACUUUCGUAACAAUAUUAUUUAAUAAUAGUCAUAAUCGCAUUAUAUAUAUUAUUAGCGUUAUGUGAGAAUUCAAUAAUUUAAGUAAUAACUUUUUUUAUGCAUAUAUCCAAAGUUAAAGAUAUAACACCACCAUAUUUUUGUAAAUUCAAAAUUAAUUGUUUUCUAUUUGAAGAAAUACUCUAUUGUGUCUGAAUGAAGAGUGUUUUGACUUAUCCCAACGUACUUCGAUUGAAGAUAUUUUUUCACGUAUGAGACGAAAUGUUGGUUGUUCGUUAUUGUAAAAGGCAACUCAGCACCAGCAAUAAAUUUCAUCAUUCCUAUUCAAGCAUUUUUCUCUGAAUAUAUCCACAUAGUGAGGGGCGAAAUUGUAGUACCGGCUCCUGGACUACCAAAUUGCAGUUGUAUUUGACUGGCUUGAAGAAGUCCAUAUUUGGCAGCACACGCUUUGUAGUGCCCAUUAAGGUGGGUGGUAUCAAUGCCUUUUUAUCAUGCCAAUUAUUGUCGACAGUAUUUACAUACUGCUUUGGACUCGAGGACUCCAUUGACAUCUCGGCCCGUCGAAAUCAAUUUAAAGUGAUCACAACAUUUUGCCUAUUUUUUUCCUUUCGCUUCCUUCUAGCAUUGGGAAUGUUUAACUCGUGUUCUUCCUCCUCUUGUUCCUUUUGGGCUUCGAGAACAUUGAUGUCAUUCUAAUCAAUUGGAUAAUUUGUAUUAUUGCUGGGGUCCGCAUCCAAAUCCAAAUGUGGAAUAUUUUUAAGAAUUGGUACUUCAUUUAGACUGAAAAAUUGAUUUCAAUAUUGACUUUGCGGCAUCGUAGGUGAUUUGCCUCCGAUAUUGAACAAGUCCUCGACAAAUGAGCAUGGAUCCAUUUCAUUUUGUGAAUUGUGAAGAUAAAAUAUAGAAAUAAUAGAUGAUAUAGGAAGAUGAUUGAAUUGUAAAAAUGAAUUGAAAUUGAAGAUGAUUAAAUUGAAAAAAUGAAUCUAUAUUAAUGACUAUAUUGUAUAAUUAUAGACUAAUUGAGAGUUAAGAGAAAGAGUGUUGAAAAAAUGAAUCUAUAUUAAUGACUAUAUUGUAUAAUUAUAGACUAAUUGAGUGUAAAGAGAAAGAGUGUUGAGAAUCUUGAGAUAUUGAGAAAUUGAGAAUUGAAAGUUGAGAGAGUUUAUGAAAAUUUUGGGCAAAUUAUUAUGCUAUUUAUAGAAUAGGAGGAAGAAAAAAGAAAAAAGUAAAAAUAAAACUUCAGUGAUUGGUGUCAAUCACUGACGAAACGUUAGUGAAAAGUGACCAAAACAGUCACUUUUUUAAAAAAAGUGACCGAUUUGGUCACUGAUCAAGACAAGCCACGAGCGACUUGGCUCGUGUCUUGAAUGAGCUGGCUCGUGGCUCGCAUUCAACGAGCCACGAGCGGCUUGCCUGUUCGGUCUGCUCGGCUCGGGCGCUUUUUUGUUUUACGAGCUUGAGUUGUCCACGAGCCCCAUUUUAACGAGUUGAGCUGGCUAGCUGACGAGCCGACGAGCUACACGAUCCGUUUGCCACCCUUACGUAGAAGAGUAUUCCGAGGAAGCUAACUUAGCCCCUGUUUGGACUCCAUAUAAAUGAGAUGUUGGGAGAAAAUGUGUUUUGAAAUAGUAUUUUUUGGAGAAUCUGUGGUUAAAGGAUAAGGAUAACUUUUUGGAUUUACGUGUAAUAUUAUUUUAUGGAAGAGUACAUAGUUGAAAAUGAGUUUGCAUUUUUUGAAUAAACAGAGCCCAAAAAAGGGCUUAAUUUUUGUUUGAAAACUUUAAGUUAAGCUCCUGUUUGUCUGCCGUUAUUUCAAAACUUUUUUUCCCAUUAAACUCAGUUUCAAAUAUACAUUCUCAAAAUAAAAUCAUUUUCACGUAAAUUAAAAAAAAAUUCCCUUUCACUUAACCACAAAUUUUCAAAAAAUUCACCAUUCUAAAACUCUUUUUUCUACUUUAAUUGUAGACAAUGUAGGAAUUGGUUCAAAUAAUUAACCAAAAACUGGAAAAUGAAAAGGUGUGUAAAAGUGAAAAAUAAAAAUGUGUGAUUACGUGUCAACUUCGACCAAAUAUUCGGACUUGAUCUGAUGGUCAAAUUACAAAAGUAAAUAAACAAACUUAUUCUACUCGUCGAGUAGAUUUUCGUGGUAUAUUUGGAAUCUCGAAAUCAAUUUCGGAUGAAUGAGAAAUUACGGACCAAAGUUGGAAAAAAUGAAGUGUUGUAACUUUCCGAAAUGAUGCAGGUUUUGGCCAAGUGUUGCAACUUUUUGAAAGGAUGCAUGUUUUGGCCCAUACAACUUCAUUUACACAAUUUCUACAUCUAUGAAUAGAAUCCUAUGGACAUGGUUUUGGGUACACCAAUUGUAUUGAUCAUUCAUUCUCCUCUUACAAUUCUUUCCUUUCUAAUUUCAUAGCAUUUUCAUUCAUUUCCUUGGUAGAGAGGGAAUUCCAUUCGAGUUUGCUGGUCGAAAUCAUUUGGAGUGCUCCUAUGGCUUGACGUGGUUGUUGUAUCUUGGGAGAUGACUGUCGAAAAACCAUUAGCACUGAUGCGUGGCAAAUUCAUUUUAAGAAAAGAGUUAUACUCGCUUCGGCCAAUCGCAUCACUUACAUUGUAACUAGUAGGACCGUCUAUUACAAAGAAGACUGUGGUCCUAGUAGUCGUCCCUAUAGUUAUGUCCAAUGGCAUAACUCCCUUAGCUGAAGUUGCUCCUCCAUUGAAACUCGUAAGGAUGACUUCUGUAGGAAUCAUGUCACCCUUCGUCUUUGCGAACUUCCUCAUCAUCCUAGAUGGAAUGGUGUUUAUAGCUGCUCUAUUGUCGAUAAGCACUUUUGUCACAGGGAUGCCGUUAACUAGAACUUUAACGUACAAUGGCCUCAAGUGUUUAGUCAAUUUCAUGCAUGACCAUUUAAAAAUAACCUUUUCGACAGCCUCUAUUUCUACUUCCUGCUUGUUUUCUGUCGAAUUAUCCCCCUGUGAUAAGUCGACGUGCAGCAUAUCGUGCUGAGCCUCUGUCUCCUGAAUCUCCUCCUUACUGUUUUCUAAUGCUUCCUCAUCAGUUACCCAACCUGUGGGAGGGGGCAUUAUUCUUGGAGGUGAUCCAUACUUUUCAGAGUGAGGCACCCUCUUCUUCCUUUUGGACGUCCCGUACAGUACGUAGAAAUUGAAAAGACGCCCAGAUGGUUCUCCCAACAAGUCUACUUUGCGAACUCCCUAUCGAUGUAGUUGCUUCAACAGAGUAUUGUGCGAUACUCCUGUCCUUCUUCUUUCUGCUUCUAGGUCGAUUUCUUCUUCGAUUCUGUCAUCCCGUCGUCUUCUUCAUCAUUGUGAGCCUCUCUAGAAGUCUGGCCUUCUUCACAUUCCAGCACGCAAGUCUCUCCUUCGUUGUCCUCCCUUUCUUCUUCUUCUUUUUCUUUAUUCUUAAAUUCAUUGGCCAAUAAGUAAUUAUUGGCCACGACUGGAGGUAACGUACCGAACUGGAUAGUAAGGGGCUGAUCUGAAUUUUCUCCAUCCCUUUUGUCCCGCUUAAACUUUGAUCUCCUAGAAGAAGUUUCUGGCAGUUCUUUCAUUGAUUCAUCUGUACCGGUCUCUUCACUAUCUUUGAGAACAUUUUGAUUGGUUACCCUGAGUAGUUUAGGCGCUUUAGGAUGUGAAACUCCCUGUUGCUGCCUCAUCAUUCGUCCAUAGUUUCGUUGAAAACGCCUUUGUUGGGUUCUAGUCAUCUCAUCGAAGGGUACUACUCUUCCUGCAUUAUACUGGAACGAAUGUCAUACAUUUGACCAGCGAGGUUAUGGCCUGAAUGUUCUCCCAUUAUCUGCUGGCCUGAACUGCCUCUCAAAAGGCGGUCCUCUAUAGAAUGAUGUACCUCGCCCUCUACCAGGCUGAGUGUUUGGGAAGAAAGUAGGGCGAUGGGGAUGUUACCAUAUCCCUAGUUUCUCCGUGUUUCCACUCACUUCUCUUUUACAUCUUGCACACAGGACGUCUUCGUCCUUUUUUGGUUCUUUCCCCUUGAUUCGUUCAAAAACACUGGGAUGUGUUCUAGGAUCCUCUUCUCCAUCAUCUAUGAUCAACUUGAAUUUUGACAACUUGUUUUUGAAACCAGACGUCACCAUGUUUACUCCAAGUGGCUAUGGAAAAGGACUUUCAUCCACUGCCAUCUUCUUCUUAUCGUCGAACGUAAUUCGUCCUGAUUCAAUGGCAUCCUGCAAUACAUGGCGAAAAACCAAGCAAUUGUUAGUCAAAUGGGACCAUGCAUUAUGCCACUUACAAUAUUUUUUACCCUUAAUUUGUUCAGGGUUUGGCAAUUUAUACUGAUCACUCAGCUUUAUCUGCUUAUCCCUACAUAAUUUAUCAAAUAUAAUGUCAGCUUUGGUUACAUUGAACGAGAACGUUCUAGCCUUUAUGUUUCCAUCUUUCAUGGGCUCAUCUUUGCCUGAUGGUCUAGGCUUAGCCAUUAUAGGACAAGUAUACGUAUUUCCUUUGACCAGUUCGAUCAAACACAUUUCGGCCUGAUCGUAUGACUCGUCCCUGAUUGUAUGAACGUUAAAAUUUGGGUCUUUGUAAUAAGUCUCUUUACUAGAAUUUUUCAUCUGCUCUUCCUCUCUUAUCAGUCGUUCAUACCUAAUCACAUUCGUACUCAACUGGAAAAGGUCAGGAAAUUUCUUGUCCUGGAAUUUCUUUUUUAAAUCAAAGCUCAAACAACCCUGAGCGAUUUUGACAAAUUCUUUUUCGGGCAGAAGUACAAAACACUUGCUUCUUGCUGUCUUGAACCUUUGGGGAAAACUUUCUGCCCAUUCGUUUGGCAUUUGACGUAGAUUCGCCAAAUCAGCCAAAGUGACUUCAGACUUAGUUUUAUAAAACUGAGCGUGGAAUAACUGUUCCAAUUGUUGCCAUGUUUGAACAGAGUUCGCUGGCAAGUUGAUGAACCAGGAAAAGCUACUCCUGUUAAUGAACUAGGAAAAAGCCUCAUUUUAUGGUAAUCAGUUACAUCACGGCUUUGCAAUAUGAAUCGCCCUAUGUGUUCUAGAGUAGACUCCUCUCCUAAACCGAUAAACAGUGAGAAUUCUGGCACUUUAUAUCCUCUAGGCUAUGGAUAUGCUUGGUCUACCCAAUCAGGAUAUGACUUUGUGUAAGUCGGCCUAAUGACAGGACGCACCCAAAAAGCUAUUUGAUCCUGUACGAUUUUCAUAAUCUGAUUCCUCAACAUGACGUUGGGGUCAUAUGGAAUUCCUACAGGUUGGUUAACCGGUUAAUUUGCAUGAGGCCUGAUGUUUGGUCCUUGAUUGGCAACAAAGUUACCAUGAUUAGAGCCAUUACCAUUAGCCUGAACAUCUAUUCCCUCAUUAACACGUGGGGUAUUCUGUCCAUUGUUCAGGACAUUAUCUCUUACAUUUUGAUUACCCCCCAAGUUAGGCGUACCACUACCAUUGUUCUGAUUUGGCACUGCACCACCCCCUUGGUUUGAAGUAGAGGGACUAGAAAGUGGUUCUACCCCUCGAUUCGGAUUUAGGACUGAGGGAUUAUGUCCCACAAUUGUCCUAAUUUGAAAGUGGUUUGCAAGAGGUAUAGCCGGUUGACAUGUUUGGCUUAUUAACUUAUUCAUUAUUUCGUUCAAAGUGUUUAGUUGUUUGGCCAUGUUGUCAUAAUGUGCAUUCCCAUUUUGGGUAAAUCUUUCCAUAUUAUAAAUACUUCGAAGAUUUACCUGUUCAAUGACAUCUUGUGUGAGUUCUCCAAGUAGUGCACGCAUGGUUCGAGGACUCAACUCUGUCAUUGGUUCGUAACGACUGUCAUUGCUUUGAUUCUUUCCAUCUGUUCGUGGAUAGGCAUGCUGCUCCUCAUAUCGCUCGAUCACAGAUUGGAUUCCUCCCUGACUUGCUGCUUCCUUAUCUGAUCUCUGAGGUAUAUUGUUUCACCUUUUGUAUUUUCAACACCAAAAACCACUGUCCCACUGGGCGUGCCAAAUUGUUUGGCACGGGUUCGUCGCUAACAAUUAAAAGGGAUAAGACGAUUGUGUAAGGGACAAACCUCUUGAGACAAAGUCCCAAAAAGGGGUGUUCUUUAUUGGCUAUGACUUUACAAUCGGAAACUAAAAACAGAAUGCCUCCAAGGGGCGCAAACACACGAGUUACUGAAAAAAUUGUUUAAAUCUAAACUAAGAAAUUUAAAAUUACAUGUUCUCUGUUCGAGAGUUUUUGAUUCGGGGGUCCUUUACUCUAUGUCUUUUCUUCUUUUUAUACUCCCUGGAUGAUCUCUUUGUGAUCAACUGCCUAAAAAUCGCUUGAUCGUUCUAUAACUGCCCACUUUCCUCGUAAUGGCCAACUUGUCAUGGAACUACCUUUUUUAACUGCUGCCAUUACUCUUUGUCUUUCAACCGUUUUCGAUUAAAUUUCUUGAAUCGUGGAACGUGAUAGGGCUGCUUAAUAACUGCUUUGAUAACUGCCCUUCUUGAUAACCAUAACACUUCAUGUUUGCUAAGACCUUGGGCGACUCGAAGGUUCGGGCGAGAAUAGAGUAGCAACUCUGGGCGACUGCAUGACAUUCCAUUCGCUCAGAUCCUGGGCGACUUGCAAGUUUGGACGAUGGUGUUACCGCAUUCACGGGCCUCCCUAUUUGGGCCUUCAUCCUGAAUUGUCUGAUUGAGCUUCAUUCUUUGGGCUAUUUGAUUUGGGGAUCCUCCAAUUGGGCUUCAUUUCUUGGGCCAUUCGAUUUGGGCUGAAUUUUUAUGUGUCAACAUGUUUAAGUGAAUUUGAGGUAUUAGCAUAUUAUUAGAAUUAGUAGUAUUUGUUAACGUCGUCCCUUGUUGUCUGAUUGCUCCUGCUUCUAUGAAGCAAAUGAAAGUUGUGAAAUGAUAUAAAGUGAUCGGUAUAAAAGGACUUAGUUUGCAUGACGGGUUUCUUCCGAAGCACGGACCACAUUUUUUUAUUUUUUGGUUCCAUAAAUUUGAUUAGUUGUUGAAAUAUAUAUACAACAGUACUAUGGAAAUGUUUAACUGGCUAUGUUGCUAGAAGAAAUGAACUAAUUCUUGCUGAAAUCUACCUUAAACUACUAGGGUUACCAAAUUAUGCUAGUUCUAUUGCGCAUGACAUGGAAAUUUUAGUUUAAGAUAUGAUUAACGUUUUGCCUAAAUAAGAAUCUAAAACAUCGUUGCUUUAUCAUACCAUAUACAUCUUUGUGUUCAUUUUCCCAUUUAUCUGCUAUAUCUAUGUCACCUCUACACACCCAAUGAACUAGUAAAAUUUUAACCCAUUAGAUUAAUCAUAAUUUGUUGACUUGUUAUUUUUAUUUUCUGCUUCUUUGUCAUUCUAAAUUAUUCAUCUUAAAAUUUGAGGGGAAAAAAAAAACUUUUUGUGUGGCAAUUUGGCAAUUACAGCAAUGCUUAAAAUUUGAGGGGAAAAAAACAAAAAGACUUUCUUCUCAUUCUUGUUUGGCAACUGCGGUAGACUAAAGAAAUUGAAAUUGGACUCUCCUGUUUCAACCAAUCAUUUUGGCUUUUUGUUCAGCAUAUUGUAGCAGUUAAGGUACUAGUAUAUAUAGUUCAAAAAUGAUGGCUGUACGUGUUGGCACCCAAUUCCUGCUUUAAUUCAUAAUCAUUCCUAUCUUUCCAUUUUAUCAACUCCAAUUCAAAUACAGAGAGUCAGAGUUUGCUCAAGCAUGAACAGGAUGGGAACUGGAAGUUGUAACAACUCCAAUACAAUUCCACUACUCACUCCUUACAAAAUGGGAGAGUUUGUCUCUCUCACAGGUUCGAUUCCGAUUUAUUUUUAGUACAUCAAAUUAGUUUCUUUCUCAUUGCUUUAGUUUAGAUUAGCAUUUAGGUUACAUUGUUUGUUUCUAACAUGUUCUGUUAAUGUUUGCACAGAGUAGUUUUAGCACCAUUAGUUAGAAACAGAUCUUACAAUAAUAUUCCACAGCCACACGCGGCAUUAUAUUAUUCACAGAGAACUACCAAAGGUGCUCUCCUUAUUACUGAAGCAACUGGAGUAUCAGCUACUGCACUAGGGUAAGUUGUUUCUAAUAACAAUUGCAAUGUAAAGAAUUUUAUCCUCACAUGAUGACAUAGCUAGUAUAUUUAAUGAAACUUGAACUCGAGACCUAAUACUGAAUUCAUACUUAGUGUGUGUGUGAUGGAACUUGAACUCAAGACCUAAUACUGAAUUCAUAGAUUAAACUGAGCCCUAUUGGCCCAAAUUUUACUAUUCUAGGAUUCGAAAUUCUUUUAUUUUUGUUGUGCAUUUUUUUUUAAGUAGGUCAAAUUAAUAUAAAUCUUUGUGCUCAAAUGGGUAAACAAGGUGCUUUAUAUAUAGAUUCACGCGUCUUUUUAUGUGUUCAUAAGAUUUUGUGUGUGUGUGUUUUUUGCUCUUUGAGGUAGAGGUGUUUAGCCUAUUGAUAAAUUAUUUAUAAAUAUUUUAUUUUGACUUUUUUUUUCCUGAUAUUUGAGUGAUCUAAUCACAUAGAUAUCCAGAUUACAUCUUCAUUUUAAUCAAUCAUUAAUAGUGGAUUCCGAGAUACACCUGGAGUUUGGACAAAGGAGCAAGUGGAAGCAUGGAAGCCAAUUGUAGAUGCAGUUCAUCAGAAGGGUGGAAUAUUCUUUAUGCAAAUAUGGCAUGCCGGCCGUGUCUCUAAUUAUAGUAAGUUUUUUAUGUUAUAUUUAUCGAUCAUUACUAAAACGCAUCAAGGGUGCCUUAAAGACAGCAAUGCUACCAGUAGGAUCAUAUCUAUAAGUAAAAAUGAGUAGGUUUACUCAGUUUAUUUGGUUCAUGAAGGAUAUAUAAUGUGCUAUGGUUCGUUUAACAGGUUUUCAGCCGAAUGAACAAGCUCCAAUAUCAUCAACAGACAAGGGAAUUACCCCCGGCCACGAAGGAGGAGAGUGGUCUCCCCCUAGACGACUGAAGACAGAUGAAAUCCCUGGUGUAGUCAAUGAUUUUAGGUUGGCUGCUCGUAACGCUAUUGAAGCAGGUUAGUACCCUGAUUUGUUUCAUCUAGUGCAUGCAGCUGGAAUUUUUCAAGAAUGGCCUAAUAAUAUUGGCAAGUAACAAAAGGGAGCCUUUUAACUCGUAUUUUGCCUUCUCUAUUGCACGAUUUGAUGGCGUUGAGAUUCAUGGUGCAUAUGGUUACUUAAUUGAGCAGUUUAUGAAAGAUGAAGUAAAUGAUAGAAUAGAUGAGUACGGUGGGAGCUUGGAAAACCGGUGUCGAUUUGCACUUGAAGUAGUAGAGGCAGUGGUCAGCGAGAUUGGAGCUUACAGAGUCGGGAUAAGAUUGUCUCCAUAUUCUGAUUUGAUGGAGGCAAGCCACUCAAAUCCUAAUGCUUUAGCACUUUACAUGGCUAAUGCACUUAAUAAGUUCAACAUUCUCUAUCUCCACGCGAUCGAACCGAGGGUGAUGCCCGAGACCGAGGAUGAAAGCCCCCAUAGACUCCUUCCAAUGAGGAAUGCUUUCAAGAAUACUUUUAUUGCUGCUAGUGGCUAUAACAGAAUUAAUGGCAACAAAGCUAUUGCAGAAAAUUAUGCGGAUUUGAUUGCAUUUGGACGCCAUUUCUUGGCUAAUCCUGAUUUACCAAGGCGAUUUGAGUUGGAUGCCCCUCUUAAUAAGUACAAUAGGAGCACUUUCUACGUUUCGGAUCCCAUCAUUGGUUACACAGAUUAUCCAUUCCUGGAAGAUGCUUAGGGCAUGGUUAACAGAUAUGAUCCUUUUCCGUCUAGCAAUUUAUUGUUUGCUUUGGAUAUUUGAACGGUCUCUCCUUAUUUA
rnacentral:lncRNA from 1 species